GACGAACGCUGGCGGCGUGCUUAACACAUGCAAGUCGAACGAAGAGCGACGGAAGCUUGCUUCUAUCAAUCUUAGUGGCGAACGGGUGAGUAACGCGUAAUCAACCUGCCCUUCAGAGGGGGCCAACAGUUGGAAACGACUGCUAAUACCGCAUACGAUCUAACCUCGGCAUCGAGGAUAGAUGAAAGGUGGCCUCUACAUGUAAGCUAUCACUGAAGUAGGGGAUUGCGUCUGAUUAGCUAGUUGGAGGGGUAACGGCCCACCAAGGCGAGGAUCAGUAGCCGGUCUGAGAGGAUGAACGGCCACAUUGGGACUGAGACACGGCCCAGACUCCUACGGGAGGCAGCAGUGGGGAAACUUCCGCAAUGGACGAAAGUCUGACGGAGCAACGCCGCGUGAGGGAUGACGGCCUUCGGGUUGUAAAGCUCUGUUAAUCGGGACGAAAGGCCUUCUUGCGAAUAGUGAGAAGGAUUGACGGUACCGGAAUAGAAAGCCACGGCUAACUACGUG
rnacentral:rRNA from 1 species